AUUGAACGCUGGCGGCAGGCCUAACACAUGCAAGUCGAGCGAGUGGCCGACCGGUUCGUAAUUUAUGGGGAACUUCCCGAUGGCUGGGGGUAACUACUGGAAACGGUAGCUAAUACCGCAUACCCUCUGAUGCGCCCAUAUGGGAUUAGCUUGUGGGUGGGGUAACGGCGCACCUAGGCGACGAUCCCUAGCUGGUCUGAGAGGAUGAACAGCCACACUGGGACUGAGACACGGCCCAGACUCCUACGGGAGGCAGCAGUGGGGAAUAUUGCACAAUGGGGGCAACCCUGAUGCAGCCAUGCCGCGUGUAUGAAGAAGGCCUUCGGGUUGUAAAGUACUUUCGGUAGGGAGGCGGUACCUAAAGAAGAAGCACCGGCUAACUCCGUGCCAGCAGCCGCGGUAAUUC
rnacentral:rRNA from 1 species